rnacentral:rRNA from 1 species
GACGAACGCUGGCGGCGUGCUUAACACAUGCAAGUCGAACGGAAAGACCCUGCUUUUGUGGGGUGCUCGAGUGGCGAACGGGUGAGUAACACGUGAGUAACCUGCCCUUGACUUUGGGAUAACUUCAGGAAACUGGGGCUAAUACCCGAUAGGAGCUCCUGCUGCAUGGUGGGGGUUGGAAAGUUUCGGCGGUUGGGGAUGGACUCGCGGCUUAUCAGCUUGUUGGUGGGGUAGUGGCUUACCAAGGCUUUGACGGGUAGCCGGCCUGAGAGGGUGACCGGCCACAUUGGGACUGAGAUACGGCCCAGACUCCUACGGGAGGCAGCAGUGGGGAAUAUUGCACAAUGGGCGGAAGCCUGAUGCAGCAACGCCGCGUGCGGGAUGACGGCCUUCGGGUUGUAAACCGCUUUCGCCUGUGACGAAGCGUGAGUGACGGUAAUGGGUAAAGAAGCACCGGCUAACUACGUG